rfam:Flavobacterium branchiophilum FL-15, complete genome.
UAAAUUUGCACCGUCUUACAAAAGCUGUAAUGACAUACAUAAGAAUUAUUAAAUAAAUAUUGGAAUG